rnacentral:rRNA from 1 species
UCCCAUUCCGAACAGAGAAGUUAAGCCCACUUGCGCCGAUGGUACUGCAAUGCAAUGCGGGAGAGUAGGUAGCCGCCCUUU